rnacentral:lncRNA from 1 species
AUCAGGCUGAGCUAAGCCAGUCUGUAUUUGAGGAGUUGGAAGCAGGUGAUUCGGGCACAAAUUUGAAGGCUGAUAAACGGCAGCCGUCACCCGUGCACUCAGAGCGGCCAGAAGUCCUGCUCCUGGGGAAGGAGGAAGGGCGCAAGGGCAAUGAGCAUGUCGCCUUGCCCUCGGGGUGUGCGGUUUCUGCUCAGCCUCCUCUUGCAGCCUUGUUUCAAGUGUGGGAAUGGCCUCCUGACUCCCAAUCCGAAACAACUGCUGAGCACAGAAGGCAGAGCAGGGCCCUGAGAGUCAGAGGAAAAUGCUGCUGCGGGGACUGGGGAGCCCCAUCGGGUGACUCCCCAGAGAUGUGAGCAGGUGCAGAGGCUGGAACAACAGUGCUGCAGGAAAGUCUCUCCCGUGGAUGCUGUGGCCUGGGGCUUGGGUGACGACGUGCACGGCUGCCUCCUCGCUGUCACGUGCUCUGCUGGCUCGUCUCCAAGCUGUGCUGCUCAUGUUCCAAAGUCUCCCUGGAGGCUUUAGUGAAAAGCCCUUUCCCCGGUGACCUGGAGUGUCUUGCUAGAUGGAGCUGGCCAAGCCUGACGUCUUUUCCUGGCCGAUGCCUCAGUCCUUAUGCAAGCUGAGCUAUCUGAUGGCAGGUCCUGAGAUCAGCGUCUGGGGCCAGUUCCCAGGGAUAGGCUAUCCCAGCAGGACCGCAGCACCUGCUGAUGCCCCUGCAGCUGCCAGAUCCUGGGAGGUGGCAUCACUGUGCCUGCCAUUAAGGUGGACGUGAGGCAGGACUUCAUCCUGGAGCUGGAAGAAGCCUCAGGGUCAUCAGUCCUCAGAGUGGCAUCAGGCCCACCCUCACCGCACAGGUGGGGCCUCAGGCCUGGGAGCGUGACCGACUGGCCCCCAGUCUUUCCACCAGCCAGGAGUAAGGUCGGGACUAGACUCCUGACUCGCUGACCACCAUACCUACAGCCAUUCCCUCACUCUCCUUCAAUGACCUCAAGUGGGGGCAAAAGAGCGGCUGCCAUGACCUCAAGGACUCUCAGAUGCAUGGCAAACGGCAGGUCUGACCGUGCCGGAAAGGGUCCAGGGGAAGGCUGCUGCCUCCAUCCUCGGGCCAGGACAUGAAGGGGCAUCAACGUCAGGGCAGAAAACAGGAGCAAUGGGAGGUCCUGAGUGAAUCCUGCAACAGAGAAACUCUUGCCUGCACCCUCUCCUCUGUCCCCCCUCCACCGCCCCAUCUCAAUGCCACAGGCUGAACCGGAGACCUGUCUUGAUGCCAGAGGGGGCCAGCAAUUGCCCAAAGAAUGCGGAGCUCCCCCUGGUUUGUUGCUGGGGGCCCUUAAUCCCAGUGCUGUGCUGGAGCUGGCUUGUAACAUUCAAUAGAACCAAGCGUUAAAUGUGCUCAGAUUUUGUGAGCCAGUUGUAAAUAUAGGCAUUAUUCACAAUUAAUCAUAUGAACUUAUAAUCAAAUAUGUUAACAAACACCCCUUCCCAAUGAGUUUUACUACUUUUGCUAUUUUCUAUGCUUUGAGGGUUACUUGCAUCUAUUAUAUCAAUGCCGUGGGAAGAGUAUAUAGUGACAGCUACUGGGCAUCUCUUCCCAAGCCCACAAUCUGUGACGUCACAUUGAAAGCUUGGGAUUGGCCAUGAUAGGAGUAUUUACACCAUGGAAGUUGGCAAACACUGCAAAUCAGAGCUUGUGUUAUUGUUUUGUUGAUUUUCUAGGCUUAAGAAAGUAAUAAAAAAUUGUUAAUAGUACAGAUUCAACUUAUAAGUGGGUCAUGUCUGGGGCC